UACAGAGGUCUCAAGCGUUGUUCGGAUUCAUUGGGCGUAAAGGGUGCGUAGGCGGCGCGGUAAGUCGGGUGUGAAAUCUCGGAGCUUAACUCCGAAACUGCAUUCGAUACUGCCGUGCUUGAGGACUGGAGAGGAGACUGGAAUUUACGGUGUAGCGGUGAAAUGCGUAGAUAUCAGGAAGAACACCCGUGGCGAAAGCGGCUCUCUGGGACGGUACUGACGCUGAGACGCGAAAGCGUGGGGAGCGAACAGG
rnacentral:rRNA from 1 species